GGAACCCGGCGCGCCUUGAAGAAGGCAGGCCUAAACCUCGUAGCUCUUGGGGUCCCGGUAACUACUUAGGUCCCGAACUUUUUUAAGUAUGCAGAAGAACCUUAGAAAACGCGUUAGGAAGGGUGAGGACUAACUUGACCUUGAUCUGCUUCCCGACUCAACAGAACCUAGUAAAGAAAAAUGCAGUAGCAUGAAGCAGAGAGCUUGGGGUUCCGCAAGCUCUCCCCCGCUUCUACUGCAGCCCCACUCGUACUCACAGAGAAAAGGCACCUCUGAUCUUAACCUGUAGAUAGUCCAAACUGCUAAGACAAACCCAGGGCUCAGGGCAGUGACAAGAAAUGGAGAACCCAGAAAAAAAAAUAACAAAUAAGAUAAGGGUAAAAAAGAAAAAAAAAAAAAAAGAAAUGAGGACACCAGGCAAGGAGGCGAAAAGCUCACCAACUGAAGCCGUGGAAGUGACUGAAAGCUGCCUCUUUUGUCGUAUGCCAGACUCAAGAGAACUUAUUUCUUUUGACCUAUUUGCAACUUUUAACAAGUGAGUAAAGUGUACUCCUGGGAACAACAUUUGGAGCAUAUUGCUUUCCCUCUGUGAUUUCUUCAGGAUUUAGAAACUU
rnacentral:lncRNA from 1 species